rnacentral:rRNA from 1 species
GGAAUUUUGGACAAUGGGCGCAAGCCUGAUCCAGCAAUGCCGCGUGAGUGAAGAAGGCCUUCGGGUUGUAAAGCUCUUUUGUCAGGGAAGAAACGGAUUUUUCUAAUACAGAGAUCUAAUGACGGUACCUGAAGAAUAAGCACCGGCUAACUACGUGCCAGCAGCCGCGGUAAUACGUAGGGUGCAAGCGUUAAUCGGAAUUACUGGGCGUAAAGCGUGCGCAGGCGGUUUUGUAAGACUGUCGUGAAAUCCCCGGGCUCAACCUGGGAAUGGCGAUGGUGACUGCAAGGCUAGAGUUUGGCAGAGGGGGGUAGAAUUCCACGUGUAGCAGUGAAAUGCGUAGAUAUGUGGAGGAACACCGAUGGCGAAGGCAGCCCCCUGGGUCAAAACUGACGCUCAUGCACGAAAGCGUGGGGAGCAAACAGGAUUAGAUACCCUUG